GCCACAAUGAACCACUUCUCAUGUCGGCAGGUGGUUUCUGCCAUGUCCUUUCUGCUGCCUGCUGUCUGGCUGGUUAGGGAGCCAAGAGAAGAUGCUUAUAAGGUUGGGACCUGGGCUGCGGGGAGGAUGCUCCACCCUAGCAGGGGACCUGGAAGUACCUGCCUCAGCGUGUCGUUCUGAGGAUUUCACUGCAGCAGCGCAUUGAAAGGAGCCCAGCCCAUGAGGAGCGCUCAGCCUGUGCCACCGAUCAAAAACCAAAAGACAGACAUUGUGACCCUCAGAAGAUGCUGGGACUGAAAAUUCCCUUCUCGGCUCCAGGCCCCUCAAAUGAAAUACCAAGAAUUUUCUCCCCUCGGAACA